UAUCACACAUUUCAGAUUGACUCUCUCUCCAGUGAAUACAGGAUUGUUUGGUGUCACAGUCAGUGUAGAUGUGGGUAAAUCUGUAAAGAAUGACACAAAUGUGUUAAUAUUUUGUUUAUAUCAACAAAACGAUUUCAUGUGAAUUCUGCUGAUCACUUUAAAAUCUUGUAGAUUCUGUAUAAAUUCACUUUAUUUCCACUAGUAAAGGUAAAUUCAUCUGUUCCUUUGUUUUUGAUGUGUGAUUUUUUUUUUUUUUUUUCUCCAAACAUCUGGAGUUUAUUUUCUGCACUCAGUAAAAUGAUCAGAGCUUUAAUGUCUUCUUCUGGUCAUGUACAAAGCACAGAGUUUUGACAGGGGUGUGUUUCUAUGAAUUGUUCGGUUUUGUUUUUGUUUUUUUCAUAACAUUAGUGAUCAGCCAUGACAGUAAACGGUCUGUAAACAGAGGUUGAAUGUUUUGUUUGUAAAGCGUUGUCUCUGGACAGUAAUGUUUGGGUUGUGCUCAGAAAGACUGAUGUUCUGUGAUGUCAGGAUGAUGCAGACUGACUUUUUCUGAGAGUCCUAGUUCGGGUGCUAGUUCAGAGCUAGUACUGGUGUCAGUUCGGAGUUGGUUCAACUGAUAAGCCUUCUAAGAACCGGUUUGCCUUUCCACGGGCUAGAGAGCAGCACAGAGCCAGGUUUUACAUAGCCUACAUCUCAUAUCACAGCAAAGCUAGUGCUGCAGCGCCAAACACACCACGCUUGUUCGAGAUGCAUCGGCUUCUCGAAGAGCGUUCGGUGCGUGACAUAAAAGCAUCGCGAGAACGAUCCAAAAGCACAAGGAGUCGUAUGCUCUACAAACGCUCCCGCGGACCUGCGGCAGUCCGAUGUCACCCGCCGAAUCGGUCCGCGCUGCUCCGAUGCAUCUCGAACAAGCCUUACUCAGGACACAGACGGAAGAAGAGAAGUAAGUGAACACAGAUGUUCAUUUAGACAGAGGCACGAACACAGUCUUUGCAGAUGGAGAGAUCAACGUGGAACGGAGAACAGGAGACGGAUGACGACAGGAAUGGAGACACGGGAACUCAGACAAACACCUCAGACUUGCCUCAGAAUGAAGCUCCUGGUGAAGGAGAGAUGAAGACUCCAACUACAACUUCAUAUGAGGAGCAACUGAAUCUGAAUCAUCUUCAACAAACUAUCUGAAGACUUCAUGAACUCAUUUAACAUCAUUUGGGAAAGCCCCUUAUUCAUGGAUUUCAUGUGACGUCACACAGUGGUACGGGCGCCAUUUGUAGGACUGAAUUACAACAAGCCGUCUAUCUGCUGUGCUGUGGGCUGUGAUAACAGCAAAUCACAAAGAAAUGGAUUAAUGUUUUACAAUAUCCCCACAAACCCUGAGCGUCCUCAGCAGGGACGUGCACAGACAUUUUGGGGGGCAGGGGCUCAAGUGGAAAAAAGGGCACUUCUCAUAAUUAUUUAUUUUAAAAAAUAAUAAACCCUUAAAUAUAUUAAGACAACUCUGACAAUUUAUUUAAUUCCCUUACACUCACACAAUUGUUUUAUACUCCACAGAUUUCUACAAAAUAAUUAGUUCACACAGAGACCAUGUUCUUCUUUAGUAUUCACUAGGUUUAUCACAAGAGCAGGCAACAGCAACUAUUUUCAAGUAGCUAUAUAAAUGAUGCACCAAGGAGAGGGACAUAGUUUCACUAAUAAUUUGUUUAUUUUGCACAAAUCAAUAAAUCGUUUUAAUUCUUUUGGUGUUAUUGGAAUACUUCUUUCAUGUAGGGGACAAUUUUAAGAUUU